rnacentral:lncRNA from 10 species
GUAAGAUUUUAUUUCUCAAAAUAAAAUCCCCCAAGCUGGUCCUUCCCAUUUACAUUGCCCUGACAUUCUAAUGCCAUUUCGUCUGCUUAAGAAUCUUUUCUUCCCUGCCAGACAAUAUCUUACUCAUGUUUUAGUAUCAAGAUUAAAUAUCUAUUCCUCUGGAAAGGCUUUCUAGCAUUUCUUCCAUCGGACAGUGCUCCCCUCCCCCAGGACAAAUCUCUCUCUCUGCAGAGUCCCCAUGACUCAUGAAUGUAUUCAAUUAUAAGCUGUUAGUAACUAGAUUAUAAUUUUUGCUUGGAGAUUGAAUCAACUUUUAUAGAUGAUAAAUUCCUUAAAGAUAAAGAUCAUUUUCACUUAGUUAUCUAUAGGUCCCUGAAUGCCUGGAACAGUCCCUGGCGGAGUAAAUACUUCAUAUUUGGCAAGAAUACCUGGCGCUUGUUUUCCAGAAGAGCUGCUUCCCAAGUCCACGUGUCAUACAGCACAGCAAAUCUGUCCACAUCUGCAUGGGCCCAUCCCCACUCCUGGCCACUCUUUGGCUGGCUGCCCACUUUGUGACCUGGGAGAAAAGAGGAUCACAAAGAAAACAUUUAUCUCUUCGGUCCUCGCAAGAGAAGUCAAAGGAACUUUUGUUUCUUAUCAAGAGCCUGGACAUCUUUGUCUGUCGUAACUGGAAAGAGCCUGUUGUACUGAAAUCCUGUUAUCAUGGUGGAUUUGAUCUUCAGUGGCCAAACAUGAAGAAUUAAAAGCAUAAUUCUUGACUGAACUGGUGGGUGGGUUGAACUUUAGGAGUACAUGGGCGGUCAUUCCUGGCGCACAUAUCAGUGUGACAUGAGCCCUGGAGCAUGUCGUCCCUCUCAGCCCUGCUCCUUUCUGUCUCCUGGGGCCCAGUGACUGAGGCCUUACGCUAGAACUGUGUAUCAUCCAACUCUCCAUUUAUAAAGGAAACUUCCUGCUGCAACAACAAAAAAAAAAAAGAAAGAAAAGAAAUGUCCCUGGUCAACAAACAGAGUCUGAAUCACAGCAAGAAUUACAACCCGGCCCUGAAAGAGUAGUCACCAUCUCUAUCAGAAGCAGGGCUUGAGCUGGAAACAGAACUGUGUCUCUCCUAAAGUGAAUGCAUUUUAGGGGUGGGGGAAGUGUGCGCUUAUUGAGUUUUCACAUACUAUUGGAUAUGUGUUUAUAUUUUGGGGUGGAGAGUAUUAAAAAGGAGCCCUUAGUGUUUUUUGUUUAUUUAGGCAGUUGAUUUUUUUUUUUUUUUAAAUCUGACUUCUCACCCCUUUCUUUCUCAAUGUAAUGGCUAGC